rnacentral:lncRNA from 1 species
ACCAGUACCAGUAUGGGAGUUAGGAAAGACACUGUCACAGCCUGCAGCCACGAGCACAAGUUGGGCCAACUUCUCCAGGGCGAUUUGGAAACACCGUGCAGAAGUCAAACCACUCAUACCUUUGACCCAGCGAUUUCACUUCUGGAUUAUUCUGACAACAGACUCCCACAGCCCUGCAUGAACACAGGAUGGCUCGCUGCAGCACAGUCUGGGAGCUAAGACCACAGGCCAUUUAAACAUCAAUGAACACGAAGUGUUUCAGGGUGAACCAAAAGCCACACGGGAUGUUCCGUCCUGCUGUGUCACCACAGGGCGCCGUCCGCCCCGACCUCCCGGCCUCCCCAAGCGGCGCCUGAGCCCUCCGCUGGCAGAACCCAGACACGCACGCCCUUCCCAGGUGCGACGCUCGGGCCGGAGGAGUCGCAGGGUUCAGGCCCCUCCGCCCGGGCCCUGACAGCGAGCUCAAGGACGCCGACAUCGGGUCAGCGUGUCGCUCCGCAGCCGUGCCAGGCGCACCGCGUGGCAGGACGGUCACCAAAGGCCCCCGGCGCGGGGAGGGGGUCAGGCGCGCUCAUUCACUUCGCCGGGUUGGCCUGUGACCUGUGCUGCGUGGGGCCCGCCGCGAUGGCCCCCCACGCAGGGCGGGUUCGGCCGCGCCCACGGUAGGCAGCUGGCCGCCCACUCACUGCGGGCCUGGCGCGGCGUAACCGUCCCCUCCCACGGGCUUCCCGACCUGUCUGACGACUGUUUCCCAACUGGCUGCUGCGGGCCUCCCCGGCCUCCUCCGCACUGCCGAGGCCCAGGUCGCACGGGGGAGCAGGCAGCAACAGAGACUGAUGGCAGCCCGCUGCCCCGGCCGUCCCCCGGACACCUGGCGGUGGUCACCCGCACCCCUGCCGUCGCAGCCCACUCCCCGCCUGCACUCGCCCGUCCGAGCCCAGCCUCGCACCUUGCCAAGGGCCGGCCCGGGGGCUGGGGACACAGGAGCAGGUUGCCUCAACCCCCCUCCUCCCACACAGGCGCCCCCCCGCCCGUGGCCCCUGGAGCACCCCCACCCCUAGCACGGCACCUGCGGCUGUCCACCCCUUCCGCCCUCCAGCUGCUCCCGUGGCCACGGGCCACCUGCGCACCCGGACCACUGCGCCCCGGGCACCGUCCUGCCCUCCCUGCCACAUGCCCUGGGGACCACUCUUUGCUAGGACGUUCAUCACAGGGGAUUCCCAGGCUUCACCGACACACCUACACGCACAGUUUAAAGGACAGAAAUAAGGUGACUAGACACGGGGGCACCUGGCUGGCCCACUGCUGGAGCGCACGACGCUUCAUCUGGGGCUUGUGAGUGU